GAUGAACGCUGGCGGCGUGCCUAAUACAUGCAAGUCGAGCGAACAGACGAGGAGCUUGCUCCUCUGACGUUAGCGGCGGACGGGUGAGUAACACGUGGAUAACCUACCUAUAAGACUGGGAUAACUUCGGGAAACCGGAGCUAAUACCGGAUAAUAUAUUGAACCGCAUGGUUCAAUAGUGAAAGACGGUUUUGCUGUCACUUAUAGAUGGAUCCGCGCCGCAUUAGCUAGUUGGUAAGGUAACGGCUUACCAAGGCAACGAUGCGUAGCCGACCUGAGCGGGUGAUCGGCCACACUGGAACUGAGACACGUUCCAGACUCCUACGGGAGGCAGCAGUAGGGAAUCUUCCGCAAUGGGCGAAAGCCUGACGGAGCAACGCCGCGUGAGUGAUGAAGGUCUUCGGAUCGUAAAACGCUGUUAUUAGUGAAGUACAAAUGUGUAAGUAACUAUGCACGUCUUGACGGUACCUAAUCAGAAAGCCACGGCUAACUACGUG
rnacentral:rRNA from 1 species